CCUACGGGAGGCAGCAGUGAGGAAUAUUGGUCAAUGGGCGGGAGCCUGAACCAGCCAAGCCGCGUGAGGGAAGAAGGUACAGCGUAUCGUAAACCUCUUUUGUCAGGGAACAAAAGCGGGGACUAGUCCCCGGAUGAGGGUACCUGAAGAAAAAGCAUCGGCUAACUCCGUGCCAGCAGCCGCGGUAAUACGGAGGAUGCGAGCGUUAUCCGGAUUGAUUGGGUUGAAAGGGAGGGCAGGCGGCCUGUUAAGUCAGCGGUAAAAGCCCGGGGCUCAACCCCGGCGAGCCGUUGAAACUGGCGGGCUGGAGUUGGAGAGAGGUACGCGGAAUGCGCGGUGUAGCGGUGAAAUGCUUAGAUAUCGCGCAGAACCCCGAUUGCGAAGGCAGCGUACCGGCUCCACACUGACGCUGAGGCACGAAAGCGUGGGUAUCGAACAGGAUUAGAUACCCUAGUAGUC
rnacentral:rRNA from 1 species